rnacentral:rRNA from 1 species
UACGUAGGGUGCGAGCGUUAAUCGGAAUUACUGGGCUUAAAGGGUGCGUAGGCGGCGCGGAAAGUUGGGUGUGAAAUCCCUCGGCUCGACCGAGGAACUGCGCCCAAAACUACCGUGCUCGAGGGAGAUAGAGGUGAGCGGAACUUAGGGUGGAGCGGUGAAAUGCGUUGAUAUCCUAAGGAACACCCGUGGCGAAAGCGGCUCACUGGGUCUUCUCUGACGCUGAGGCACGAAAGCUAGGGUAGCGAACGGG